rnacentral:hammerhead_ribozyme from 1 species
AUCCAUCUGACGAGUCUUGAAUAGGACGAAACGCGCGUCCUGUGU